UUUCUUUGUUCUUUUCGCAUCGUUCGGUGCAUUCUGGGGGCUGUUUUGGCUUUUGGUUGCUUGCUUGGCAUUCGUGCUUGGCGAGUCGCUACUAGUUGGGCGGUUUUCGGGAAUGUCGACCGUAAAGGUGCAUGAGUGGUGUUUGGUUUGCUACGGUGGUUGGCUGUUUGCUUUGCGCAACAACGUCCACUCGUGCAUACCUCUUCAGUUGUGUGUCAAGGCGUGUAUCGUCUUGUGCAUUUUGUCGGUUUCCUGUGUUGCAUGCCUAAUCGAUGGUAACGUGUGGGUUUAUGGAUGUCCCUUUUCGUCAUGUGUCGCUCAUGCGGCGUAGGAUGAAUCUUGAAGCUAUCUUCGUGGUCCACCUUGUGGUGACUUUGCAUCAAUGAUGUGGCCUAUGAAGCAUUGCUUGGUCUCUUGCAUACGGAACCUUAUGGGGCAUGGGUCUUACUUGAUCCUUCAUUUGCCCUAGCUAUGUUUUCUCGCUUCUCCAAAACGAUCGCCUGUCACGUCAUGGCUCGUCCU
rnacentral:misc_RNA from 1 species